UACGUAGGGGGCAAGCGUUGUCCGGAAUCAUUGGGCGUAAAGAGCGCGUAGGCGGCCCGGUAAGUCCGCUGUAAAAGUCCAGGGCUCAACCCUGGAAAGCCGGUGGAUACUGUCGGGCUCGAGUCCGGAAGAGGCGAGUGGAAUUCCUGGUGUAGCGGUGAAAUGCGCAGAUAUCAGGAGGAACACCAAUUGCGAAGGCAGCUCGCUGGGACGUUACUGACGCUGAGACGCGAAAGCGUGGGGAGCAAACAGG
rnacentral:rRNA from 1 species